AACAAACGGGAUCAGAGGAGAAGUGCCAAGGUUGGCAGGCUGUGCUGGCCACGUGAUAGCUGCGUUUCCACUGCAGUGUGUUUAAUGAUUCCAGGAGAAGAGGAGGAGCAACUCUCUGACCACCAUGGGGCAGUAGGGAUUGGUGGCUCAAGGCAGGCUCUCCGGGAGGGAAGGGACAGCUCCCAGACCGGGCCUCUCAUGGCAGUAAUCUAACUCAACAAUUCAACCCAACCCAAACCAAACAGCCAACAGCUCUCAACCCAAACCAGCUGCUCAGAUUUGACUCAACUAACUCAACUCAUCACAACUCAGCUCCAAGAAGGAGAAGCUGAUGUAUGGAUUCAAGAACACUUGCUUGGGGGCAGUAAGAACAGCGUGCAAUGAGCUGGAUUGGCUGGCCUCUCCUUCUGGAGUUGAAUUCCAGGUUCUCACCUUGAAUGAAGAAUUGAAUGAAACAAGCAAAAAGCAGUGGCCAAGUUUAUUCAAGAAAGCAAAAAUGAAGAGUGGGAGAGAAACUGGCUCUCCAGUGAGCUUGGACUGACACAGACCCUUCAGUCUUCUGAUAUGGACUGGCACUGCAUUGCAAGACACUACCGUGAGCUUCAGGCCUGUGACUGGGUCCUUCAGAUCUCCAACCUACAGACAGCCAUCUUGCUCUUUUCCUCACCUGACUCUGUGGGCGGCCAUUUUAAGCCAAUCUUAUAA